rnacentral:rRNA from 1 species
AGUUACUUUAACAACCAGGAGGUUGGCUUAGAAGCAGCCAUCCUUUAAAGAAAGCGUAAUAGCUCACUGGUCUAGUGAUUUCGCGCGGAAAAUAUAACGGGGCUAAAAUGAGUACCGAAGCUUUAGAUAGUGUCUAUGAUUAUUUAUACUAGCUUGUCUUUUACUGAUAAAUUAAUGAGUUUUAAAUUUUCUCAAUCGAGAGCCUAUAUGGCUAGUCUCAAUCUAAAAUUUCUACACAACAUUAGUUUCUCAUCAAAAAUACUGCGCUUAAUCUAUUUAAAUUUAUAAAUUAAGCAGUAUUAAAUUUAAGACAACAAAAUAGUAUGAAUACUCAUAGGCACUGUGGUAGGAGAGCGUUCUAUUCAGCGUUGAAGGUAUACCGGUAAGGAGUGCUGGAGCGGAUAGAAGUGAGCAUGCAGGCAUGAGUAGCGAUAAAAGGGGUGAGAAUCCCCUUCGCCGUAAACCCAAG